ACUGCAAAAGCUGUACGGCCGCUGGUGGAUGACUAGGUUGGCUAGCCGAUGAAGGGCGUCACGAGCUGCGAAAAGCCUGGGGUAGGCGCAUGAAGCCAUUGAUCCCAGGGUCCCCGAAUUGGACUUCCUCAUGUGGGCUAAUACCCCGCAUGGAUCCAGUGUCACAACUGGAUUGGGAACGCUCGGAACUGAAGCAUCUUAGUACGGGCAGGAAGAGAAAACAAUAGUGAUUCCGUGAGUAACAGCGAGCGAAAGCGGAACAGGCCAAACUGAAUCCCUGUGCGAAGAGUAGAGGGAGAUGUGGUGUGUGGGCCUCGAACUUAUUACCGACGUGCGUAAGCCGAAGUGGUCUGGAAUGACCUGGCAUAGAGGGUGACACCCCCGUAGGCGUAAAACACGGGUAUGUUUGAGGCUCCCGAGUAGCGCGGGUUGGUUUUCUCGCGUGAAUGUCGCAGGUACAAUCUGCGAAGCCUAAAUACUCAGCCAAACCGAUAGCAGACUAGUAGCGCGAGCGAAAGUUGAAAAGUGCCGCGGGAGCGGGGUGAAAAGCACCUGAAACCAGUGGUCUACUCAAAGGAUGCUGAUUAAAAGAGGAGAUUCUCGGGGAACGAAACAGGAGCAAUCCUGCAGUAGGACCCGAGUGGAUCGAAUCAGCAUCAUCCGUCUCGAAACACGGGCCAGGGAGUUCAUGGGCGUGGCGAGGAUAAGGCAUCAAGCCGUAAACGAAGCGAAAGCGAUAAGCCCGCAGCUCGCAAGAGUGAGGGGCGACGUGUGAUAAGCGCGUGAAGUCCCGUGACACGAGAAACCAGUCGAUCUUGGCGUGGGCAGGGUGAAGCCGGGCGAAAGCUCGGUGGAGGCCCGAAAGGGUUCUGACGUGCAACUCGUUCCGUUGACCUGCGCGAAGGGGUAAAAGGCUUAUCUAGACUGGUGAUUGCUCGUUCUCCGCGAAGUUGGUCGCAGCCAAGCCCUGCUCGAGGUAUCAUGUGGUGUAGAGCACUUUCGGAUGUGCCCGGGGGUCGAUAAGACCUUCACCAUCCUGAAAACUCCGAAGCUGCAUGAACUGUAGACGGCAGGAGACGGGUGCCCGGGGUAAGCCCGGCAGGCCGAGAUGGGGAGAACCGAGGGGGUGAGCUUAGAAGCAGCUAUCCCCGAACGAAAGCGUAACAGCUCACAGACCGAGGCUCUCGGCCUUGAAAAUGGACGGGGCUAAAUCUGGUCACCGAGACCAUUCAGCACACGGGUAGUACCGUGUGAUCUGGUAGCGGAGCGACCCGGUCGGGCAGAAGUGGGGCUGUGAGGUCCCGUGGACCGUCCGGGUUUGAUGAUCCUGGCAGUAGUAACAGCUAAGCAUGGUGAGAAUCCAUGUCACCGAAAGGGAAAGGGUUCUUCGGCAAUGCGUCGUCAGCCGAAGCUUAGUCGAUCCUAAGUGGCGUCGUAAU
rnacentral:ncRNA from 1 species